AGGAAGGACUAGGUUAGCGUACUCACGCUCCUCUCCCAGCCUUCAUUUCACACUAGCUCUGGGGCUUUUUUCCCUUCCUCCUGCAGCUCUGACAGAGAUGGUAGGUGAGUCCUCUCCUGGCGCCCCAUCUGUUUGGUUUAUUACUUUCCAUGCACUGUCCUCCUUUUCCCAAAGAGUCCUCUCUCUUUUCUACCACAUUGUUCCCAUCCAUUCAUUGUUUCCUUUAUGCAGGAUGGAGGGCACUUGUUUUUCUUAGGUAGAAAAGGGUGUUAAUCCUAAGUGCUUAUGGAAGAUCUCUUCUUAGAAAGCCACAAGGUUGUUUUUAACAAUUGCCAACAUCAGGAUUGCAGUACUUGGAAGUCAAAGGCUGACUUGUGUUGGUUUUGAGCUUUCCUGUCUCCCAGCCUGCUCCCAUCAAGCUUAGUGUUGUUAGCACACACCGCCUCUCUUCUCUCAUCUUCUAUUGCUCCAUGUAUAGGCUAGCAUUUAGUUAUUCUCCACUUGUUUUAUGUCCCACUCAUA
rnacentral:lncRNA from 1 species